AACGAACGCUGGCGGCAUGCCUAACACAUGCAAGUCGAACGAGACCUUCGGGUCUAGUUGCGCACGGGUGCGUAACGCGUGGGAAUCUGCCCUUCGGUUUGGAAUAACUGAGAGAAAUUUCAGCUAAUACCUUAUAAUGUCUUCGGACCAAAGAUUUAUCGCCGAGGGAUGAGCCCGCGUAGGAUUAGGUAGUUGGUGGGGUAAUGGCCUACCAAGCCGACGAUCCUUAGCUGGUCUGAGAGGAUGAUCAGCCACACUGGGACUGAGACACGGCCCAGAAUCCUACGGGAAGCAGCAGUGGGGAAUAUUGGAAAAUGGGCGAAAGCCUGAUCCAGCAAUGCCGCGUGAGUGAUGAAGGCCUUAGGGUUGUAAAGCUCUUUUACCCGGGAUGAUAAUGACAGUACCGGGAGAAUAAGCACCGGCUAACUCCGUG
rnacentral:rRNA from 1 species